rnacentral:rRNA from 1 species
GACGAGCCUCACAAACGUUAUUCGGAAUUACUGGGCUUAAAGGGUGCGUAGGCGGUGCGGAAAGUUGGGUGUGAAAUCCCUCGGCUUAACCGAGGAAUUGCGCUCAAAACUACCGUGCUCGAGGGAGAUAGAGGAAUGCGGAACUUACGGGUGGAGCGGUGAAAUGCGUUGAUAUCGUAGGGAACACCGGUGGCGAAAGCGGCAUUCUGGAUCUCUUCUGACGCUGAUGCACGAAAGCUAGGGUAGCAAACGGG